UGGGGAAUAUUGCACAAUGGGCGCAAGCCUGAUGCAGCCAUGCCGCGUGUAUGAAGAAGGCCUUCGGGUUGUAAAGUACUUUCAGCGGGGAGGAAGGGAGUAAAGUUAAUACCUUUGCUCACUGACGUUACCCGCAGAAGAAGCACCGGCUAACUCCGUGCCAGCAGCCGCGGUAAUACGGAGGGUGCAAGCGUUAAUCGGAAUUACUGGGCGUAAAGCGCACGCAGGCGGUUUGUUAAGUCAGAUGUGAAAUCCUCGGGCUCAACCUGGGAACUGCAUCUGAUACUGGCAAGCUUGAGUCUCGUAGAGGGGGGUAGAAUUCCAGGUGUAGCGGUGAAAUGCGUAGAGAUCUGGAGGAAUACCGGUGGCGAAGGCGGCCCCCUGGACGAAGACUGACGCUCAGGUGCGAAAGCGUGGGGAGCAAACAGG
rnacentral:rRNA from 1 species